GCGGACGUGGCGAAAUUGGUAGACGCACGGGACUUAAAAUCCCUUGCCCUUCGGGGUGUGCGGGUUCGAGUCCCGCCGUCCGCACCA
rnacentral:tRNA from 1 species